CUGAAUAACUCUGCCGAUCGCACGGUCUCGCACCGGCGACGUAUCUUUCAAGUGUCUGCCUUAUCAACUUUCGAUGGUAGUUUAUGUGCCUACCAUGGUUGUAACGGGUAACGGAGAAUAAGGGUUCGACUCCGGAGAGGGAGCCUGAGAAACGGCUACCACAUCCAAGGAAGGCAGCAGGCGCGCAAAUUACCCACUCUCGGCACGAGGAGGUAGUGACGAAAAAUAACGAGACGGAUCUCUUUGAGGCCCGUUAUCGGAAUGAGAACAAUUCAAAUCCUUUAGCGAGGAUCUAGCGGAGGGCAAGUCUGGUGCCAGCAGCCGCGGUAAUUCCAGCUCCGCAGGUGUAUAUCUAUGCUGCUGCGGUUAAAAAG
rnacentral:rRNA from 1 species